rnacentral:rRNA from 1 species
GAUGAACGCUGGCGGCGUGCCUAAUACAUGCAAGUCGAGCGAACAGACGAGAAGCUUGCUUCUCUGAUGUUAGCGGCGGACGGGUGAGUAACACGUGGAUAACCUACCUAUAAGACUGGGAUAACUUCGGGAAACCGGAGCUAAUACCGGAUAAUAUUUUGAACCGCAUGGUUCAAAAGUGAAAGACGGUCUUGCUGUCACUUAUAGAUGGAUCCGCGCUGCAUUAGCUAGUUGGUAAGGUAACGGCUUACCAAGGCAACGAUGCAUAGCCGACCUGAGAGGGUGAUCGGCCACACUGGAACUGAGACACGGUCCAGACUCCUACGGGAGGCAGCAGUAGGGAAUCUUCCGCAAUGGGCGAGAGCCUGACGGAGCAACGCCGCGUGAGUGAUGAAGGUCUUCGGAUCGUAAAACUCUGUUAUUAGGGAAGAACAUAUGUGUAAGUAACUGUGCACAUCUUGACGGUACCUAAUCAGAAAGCCACGGCUAACUACGUG